GGGCCACCUGCAAAAAGAGAGGCAACGAUAACAGCAGCGUUGCACUCCCCUUCCCACUAUUAAAGUUUGCCGCCGCCACCACGCACAGAACACCAGAAAGCAGGGAAGGAGGCAGCAAAAGCAAAUCAAGUGAAAAUUAUUUGCAGUCAAUAUGCAAAAGUACACACAUACAACAGAUGUGUACAUAUGCAUACGUAUAACUGUAUAUGUAUGUGUGUGCUUGUACAGGCACACAGAUGAAAGCUGCGUCGCAAUUAACGGCAGGGGGCGACAGACAAUUGGCAGGGCUAACAUGGUUGAAAUUGGAAGCCGUGUAAUAUGUGCAUAUUUUUUAAUUCAUAGGAAGCUUACAUAUGCAUAUGUAUGUAUAUACUCCAUAUAAUAUUGUAUCAAAAUAUCAAUAAGUAAUUAAACAUCUAAAAACGUU